CUGCCCUCAAGCUCGGCUUGUGUGUUGGGCCCUCGUCCCCCGGGACGGGCCCGAAAGGCAGCGGCGGCACCGCGUCCGGUCCUCGAGCGUAUGGGGCUUUGUCACCCGCUCUGUAGGUCUGGCCGGCGCCUGCCGACACCAAUCAAUCUUUUUUCCA
rnacentral:misc_RNA from 1 species